ensembl:lncRNA
GGGACCGGCUCUGCAGAGCCCCGGGGGGCCUGACCCCGCCGGGCGCUAGUCUGGUCCAGGGGACGGUGUCGCAAAGUCGAUGUGGUGCCUAAAUUGCGGGGAUCAGAGGAGCUGACGUCAACGAGAUCGCCGGACACACUUUGGUAGGUCGUCAAAAUCCCUACCCUCCACUUCAGAGCCUUUCCUGGCCAAAGUCUGCGCCUGAAAGUGGCCGAAGACGUCUAACACUGUGAAGUGUCCAAGCAGUGAGCGAGGCCUUCCCAGCUGGGCCGCCGCUUCACAGCUCGUCCAAGGGCAUCUUCGCUCCUCAGCACGGUGAGCAGGCCGGAUCCGAAGCGCAGAGGCUGCCAAACUCCAAGUGAUCAUGCAGAUAGAACCAACAACCAUGCCAGACUCCUUUUACUGGAAUCCACUAGAUUGACCUUUUAAGGGCCUCUUUCUCAUUCACGGCCCGGCCCCAGCCAUAUCAGGGGACUUUUAUCAAAGCCUUCCACUGCUCCAGGGCUACCUGUAAAAGGAAAGAAUUGCUGAUGUACACAGAAGGAGAAUUUCUAGUCUCCACUCCAACAUCCGAGAUGGGACUCUGAGGCAUCAAGAAAGAGCUGGCUUACAGUUACAGAGUGGUUCUGAGCGGAGACCUGACUCAUCUGGAGACAGCCUUCUGAAUGGGAUGAUUCAGUCAAUCCUGAGAGAUUCUUGCCCACAGGCAAAGUCAACCUGAGAAGGAGUUAAAUUUAUA